GUAGGUGGCAAGCGUUGUCCGGAAUUAUUGGGCGUAAAGCGCGCGCAGGCGGUUCUUUAAGUCUGAUGUGAAAGCCCACGGCUCAACCGUGGAGGGUCAUCGGAAACUGGAGAACUUGAGUACAGAAGAGGAAAGCGGAAUUCCACGUGUAGCGGUGAAAUGCGUAGAGAUGUGGAGGAACACCAGUGGCGAAGGCGGCUUUCUGGUCUGUAACUGACGCUGAGGCGCGAAAGCGUGGGGAGCAAACAGGAUUAGAUACCCUGGUAGUCCACGCCGUAAACGAUGAGUGCUAAGUGUUAGGGGGGUUUUCCGCCCCCCUUAGUGCUGCAGCUAACGCAUUAAGCACUCCGCCCUGGGAGUACGGCCGCAAGGCUG
rnacentral:rRNA from 1 species